UGAUGUUCUAACGUCGACCCCUAAUCGGGGUUGCGGACAGUGCCUGGUGGGUAGUUUGACUGGGGCGGUCUCCUCCCAAAGAGUAACGGAGGAGCACGAAGGUGGGCUAAUCACGGUUGGACAUCGUGAGGUUAGUGCAAUGGCAUAAGCCCGCUUGACUGCGAGAAUGACAAUUCGAGCAGGUGCGAAAGCAGGUCAUAGUGAUCCGGUGGUUCUGAAUGGAAGGGCCAUCGCUCAACGGAUAAAAGGUACUCCGGGGAUAACAGGCUGAUACCGCCCAAGAGUUCAUAUCGACGGCGGUGUUUGGCACCUCGAUGUCGGCUCAUCACAUCCUGGGGCUGAAGUCGGUCCCAAGGGUAUGGCUGUUCGCCAUUUAAAGUGGUACGCGAGCUGGGUUUAGAACGUCGUGAGACAGUUCGGUCCCUAUCUGCCGUGGGCGUUGGAAGAUUGAAGGGGGCUGCUCCUAGUACGAGAGGACCGGAGUGGACGAACCUCUGGUGUUCGGGUUGUGUCGCCAGACGCAUUGCCCGGUAGCUAAGUUCGGAAUCGAUAACCGCUGAAAGCAUCUAAGCGGGAAGCGAGCCCUGAGAUGAGUCUUCCCUGAUACUUUAAGUAUCCUAAAGGGUUGUCGGAGACUACGACGUUGAUAGGUCAGGUGUGUAAGUGCUGUGAGGCAUUGAGCUAACUGAUACUAAUUGCCCGUGAGGCUUAACCAUACAACACCCAAGGGGUUU
rnacentral:rRNA from 1 species